rnacentral:rRNA from 1 species
AAGUAGUGUGAAUUGCAGAAUUCAGUGAACCUUCAAAUCUUUGAACGCACAUUGCGCCCCUUGGUAUUCCAUGGGGCAUGCCUGUUCGAGCGUCAUUUGUACCUUCAAGCUUUGCUUGGUGUUGGGUGUUUGUCUCGCCUCUGCGCGCAGACUCGCCUCAAAACAAUUGGCAGCCGGCGUAUUGAUUUCGGAGCGCAGUACAUCUCGCGCUUUGCACUCAUAACGACGACGACCCAAAAGUACAUUUUUACACUCUUGACCUCGGAUCAGGUAGGGAUACCCGCUGAACUUAAGCAUAUCAAUAAGCGGAGGAAA